UACGUAGGGUGCGAGCGUUAAUCGGAAUUACUGGGCGUAAAGCGUGCGCAGGCGGCCAUGCAAGACAGAUGUGAAAUCCCCGGGCUCAACCUGGGAACUGCAUUUGUGACUGCAUGGCUAGAGUACGGCAGAGGGGGAUGGAAUUCCGCGUGUAGCAGUGAAAUGCGUAGAUAUGCGGAGGAACACCGAUGGCGAAGGCAAUCCCCUGGGCCUGUACUGACGCUCAUGCACGAAAGCGUGGGGAGCAAACAGG
rnacentral:rRNA from 1 species